ensembl:lncRNA
AUUUAUUACUAAACUUCAUGGUUAUUACAUUUGGUGUCACUCAGUAUGAUAAUACUGCAUGUUGUUUGUCUUUUGUUUUCUUCUUUAACUAUAUGUUCUCUGUUUCUGGUGCUUUUUGGCUUAACUUUUUUACUUCUACAUUUCCCUCAGGAAGCAAAUUCUGAUUCUUCUUGGGAGAACGAGCUCUUCACUUAUCCGUCUUAUCUGCAAAGAUUAUUGGCAAUUAAAUAGGCAAUGCUAACAUGUAGAGAGUGAUAAUUGACCCCAAAUAGAUGAAAAAAUCUACAGCCAGGGUGAAGAAUUCAAUUUCUCUCAGGUGUCACUACAAGAAUUAGUGUUUCAGGCACAAAAGCACAACCACGACCAUCUACAGCAAGGUAAUCGGAUAGUCUCAACAAAACCUAAAAGUCUUCAUUUGGAGCUCUACAGUGAACUCUGGAGAAGUGAAACCAUCUGUGUUAACAUAGUGAAAUGAAAUGGAAACUUCCUUGACAGAAAGCACAGAUGGUACACACCGGCCAAAAGACAAACCUGAAACAUCUUAUUCCAAUGAAGAAGUUGCUAUCGUAUCCUGAUGUGAAUGAAGUGACAGUUUUCAGCUUCCUGAAUCUAACGAUGGUUUUCUCUUUUCUUUGUAAUUCCCAGUGCUGUUGGAAGAACAGAGUUCCUGAAGGAUCGGAGGUGAUUCUACUGGCCUUACUGGUGAGGACUCAGAUGUUUAAUACUGGACUCUCUAUAUUUGUUGCGCCCACAAUGGACAAAUUGGCACAGGAUUUUCUGAGUGUUGCUGCAUUAAAAGCAAUAGGACAAAUCUAUUCACUGGCAAAGGAUCAGGCAAACUACUUCAGAAAGAACAAGAGGGGUAUCAAAUUUAUGGCUAAGAUUUCCACGUGAAGCACUGGAGUUUAAGAAGGGAGGCUUAACGAUGCUGACUCAAAGGAGGAGAUGGACUGCUCAGGGGUGAGUUAUGAUGAGAAAACAGCAUUUAUUUUGCAACUUUUUACAUUUGGAAGAAACAGAGAUAUUUCUAAAAAUCAGGCUACAGUGUUAUUUUAGUUAAAUUUGUUCCAUCCAGAAGUCUGUUCUUACAAAGACCAAAAGAAAUUCUAAAGGAUGAAGAGGAAAAACAAGAGAGAUGUUUAUAUUAUUGAAGCUGUGAUAUGAGAGACUUUCACUUAAGAAAUCUAUUGGAGUCUGUCUUUGUUUUCUGAGACAAGGCCAUUUAAAAAUAUCAUAUUUUGUAUUAAAUAGUUUGAUGGCAUAAAUUCAAUAAGGAUAUUGUCUAGUAUGCUCCCUGUAUGAGUUGAAAUGAGUUACAGAGAACACCAGGAAAAGCAAAGAUCCAUUUCCUUUUUUCCUUCUCCCUACUUUCCACUGGUGAAACUCAACUGAAAAGCAUGUGAUUGAAAUAUAAUCAAAUAACCUGCUGGUGUCUAAUAAAGAAGCACUGGUUGUUUAAAUGACUAUUCA